GACGAACGCUGGCGGCGUGCCUAAUACAUGCAAGUUGAGCGCUGAAGGUUGGUACUUGUACCAACUGGAUGAGCAGCGAACGGGUGAGUAACGCGUGGGGAAUCUGCCUUUGAGCGGGGGACAACAUUUGGAAACGAAUGCUAAUACCGCAUAAAAACUUUAAACACAAGUUUUAAGUUUGAAAGAUGCAAUUGCAUCACUCAAAGAUGAUCCCGCGUUGUAUUAGCUAGUUGGUGAGGUAAAGGCUCACCAAGGCGAUGAUACAUAGCCGACCUGAGAGGGUGAUCGGCCACAUUGGGACUGAGACACGGCCCAAACUCCUACGGGAGGCAGCAGUAGGGAAUCUUCGGCAAUGGACGAAAGGCUGACCGAGCAACGCCGCGUGAGUGAAGAAGGCUUUCGGAUCGUAAAACUCUGUUGGUAGAGAAGAACGUUGGUGAGAGUGGAAAGCUCAUCAAGUGACGGUAACUACCCAGAAAGGGACGGCUAACUACGUG
rnacentral:rRNA from 1 species